rnacentral:lncRNA from 7 species
CUGAGCCGCAGCGCGCGGGAGCGGCCGUUGCCAGCCGGCUCGGAGCCGCCCGACUGUCCCCUCAGACAGCGCCGCUGCCGCAGCCCGGGCCCGGGACCGCAGCACGGGAGCGCCGCUGCAGCCGCUGUGCGCCGGAGCUGUCCGGGCAGCACCGAGACGGAACCGCGGCACGACGGGAGUGGUGCUGAGGACAGCAGCGCCGGAGCCGGAAGGGAGGGAGAGCGGCACCGGGACAGGGAAAAACACCUGCGCGGCCAUGACCCACCUCCCUGUGCGGAAUGGAGGAAUCUGGCCAGAGCUGUGCCCCUGCUUGCCACAGGAGCUGCGCGGGAGGAGAAGAAUGUGGGCCAAAAGGUAAGAGGAGCUCCUUUGGGUUCUGGGCUUGAAGCAAAGCUGAGAAGCCAUGCCCGGGAGGAGGUGUGGGUAGCUACAGGCCACCUUGCUAUCUCCCCAAGAGAUGAGGUGUGUGGGGCUAGGCCACCGGCAGGAGUGCUGGCCAGAAGCAAGCAUCUCUGUGGAGGAAGGCAAAGGGCGGAGGAGGUUCAAGGGUAGCUACCGGGCAUGGCCUUGCUCAGCAAGGGGAGGAAAAGCCUGAAGGGCACGAGAAGGGGACCAGAGAAGGGCAGGCAGUAGGCGUGAAGCUGUGAGCAGAGUAGAGAGCAACUUGGCAGAGCAGCAAGCAGAGUAGGCAAGUGCUGAGGUUUGGCGUGAGUAGCAGCAAAAGCCCAUAGCAUCAAGAAGCAGGAAGUGAGGAGAAGGUAAGUGAAGGGCAGGCAAGGUAAUGGGAGGCAAAGGCAAGGGGAAAGGGGAGGGUAAGGGAGAAAGAGGGGAUGGGGAGGGGAGGGGAUGGUGAAGAGCAGAGCGGCAGGGAAGGGCUGAGGGGAGGGCUGAAGGCAAACCAAUGAUGAAAAAGAAAAGAAAAAUAAGACAAAAAUAGAAAUAAGAGAAAAAAGAAAGAAAAAUAAGAAAAGAGAAAAAAGGAAAAGAAAAAAUGAACAAAAAAGACAAAAGAAGAGAAAAGAAAAAAAUGAACAAAAAAAGAGAAAAAAAGAGAAAAGAAAAAAAAAUGAAACAAAAAAAGAAAAAAAGAGAGAAAAAGAAAAAAAAAAUGAACAAAAAAGAGAAAAAGGAGAAAAGAAAAAAUGAACAAAAAAGAGAAAAAGAGGAAAAGCUAAAAAAAGAAAAAAGAUAAAAAAAAAGAAAAAAGAGAAAAUAGAAAUAAAAAAAAGAGGACAGAAAAAUAUGAAAAAAAGAAAAAAAAGAAAAAAAGAAAAGAAAAAAAUAAUAGAUGAAAAAAGAAAAACGAAAGGAAAAAAGGUAAUGACAAGAGAAGAAAGGUAAAGAGAAAAGAAGAAAAAAGCCAAGGUCAAAAAGUAAAGAAUAACUCGAAGGAAGGAGUGGAUGGCAAGAAUACAGGGGAAAGCAAUGCAUAGCACAGCAAAGCAAGCAAGGCAAAAUAGCAGCCCAAAGCCACGAGAAUCAAGAAGUCAGUGAAGAGCAGGAAAGGUAAGUUUCCCUUAAAGCAAGGGGGAAUGGUAGUGGAUGGGGGCCAAAAGAGAGGGGAGGGGAGGAGGGGAGGGGAAGUGAAGGGUGGGGGAGAGGGGGAGGAGCAGUGGGGAAAGCGGUGGGGCUAGAGGGGGGGUGAGGGGUGCAAGAGGGGGGGAGGAGGAAGGGUGGAGAGGGGGGAGAAGUGAGGGGGGGGUGAGUAAGUGGGGGCGUGGGUGGAUGGGGGGGGAGAGGAGAGAGGGUAGGAAGGAAAAAAAUUGGAGGUAGGGUGAGGGAAGGGGGAGGGUUGAAGGGAAAAUAAUGAAACAGGGGGAAAAAAAG